ensembl:lncRNA novel transcript
UCAUUUGUACUUUUUCUUUGUUGCAAUACUUCUUAGGUAACUUCUUAGACCAAGUCUAGAAACAGUCUGAGGACAAUAACAAUUCCAUUCUAAAAAGAAUCUCCCAACAUUUCUUCUAUCUCAACCUCAACUGCAUCUGCCUGUGAACUUCCAGCUUACCAAGGCUCUAUAUCUUCUGGCAGUGACAAAGGCUCCUUCCAUGAUAUGUAUUCAUUUCCUACCACCGUAGUGGAAGAGAGAUUUUCCCUAUCUUUACAACUGAUAGCAUUUCCAACAGUAAGCUGUGAGAUUCUGCUUGAAAUCACCUCUCAAACAAAUAAAAAACAGACCUGGGAGACAUGCUACACUCAUUCUGCUGAGGAAAUAGGGCAAGAAUAUUUUCUAAGACCCCGAACUCCAGAUAUGCGAUGGGGCAAAUCCUGAAGCGUACAUGGCUAUCUCUCACAGCUAAAGCACCCCUCACCCCUAUCCAGCGCUUCUUACCCCUGGCGCAAGAGAGUCACCUGCGGGGAGGAAAACUAUCAAAAUCCCUUAAACCCAAGUUGUAACCGCACAACU